rnacentral:tRNA from 1 species
GCCGGUGUAGCUCAGGUGGUUAGAGCGAACGCUUCAUAAGCGUUAGGUCCCUGGUUCAAGUCCAGGCACCGGCA